rnacentral:rRNA from 1 species
UUUAGGAAAAUAAAUCAAACGAGAUUCUAUGAUUAGUGUGAAUGAAAAUAGAAAAGCCUAUUUUAAAGAUAUAUUGUAUUAUAUAUCUUUAUAUUAAAAAAGUAAAACGGGCAUAACCUCCAGUUUGAAUACGUCAAAUAAUUGUCUAAUAAAAUUAUUUGACAAAGGGGAACCUUCCUCUAAGGCUAAAUAUAAUAUAUAAGCGAUAGCGUAUAGUACUGUGAAGGAAAGGUUUGAAUUAGUAGCUUAUAAGCAGCUAAUGCUUUAUUUAAUUAAAAAGUGAUAGCGUACCUUUUGCAUAAUGGGUCAGUAAGUUAAUAUUAGAUGCGAGCAUCAGUGCCCAGAUAAACCAAUUAUGAAUUAAUGAAUUAGUAUCUAAAAUUAGACCCGAAGGCUAGUGAUCUUACCAUAGUCAGGAUUAUAAAAGUCCGAACGGGUUAUCGUUGUAUAGAUAUCCGAGGAACUGUGGUAAGUAAAGUGAAAAGACAACACUGACUAGUAUAGCUGGUUUUCUGCGAAACCUAUAAAAGUAGGUAAUUUAAGUAACAUCAUAGCAGGUACAGAACUGUGUUCUCAGGCAACUUUUAAGAUAGAAAUUUCUAUUUUAUAUUUUGCAUAUAUCGGGCAAUCGUGAAGAUUUUAUCGGUGAGUAAUCGCACUCGGAAUGGUUAUGAUCUUUAUUAAAUAAUCGGACAUAGUACGCUAAGGUUGUGUGUCUAAAGGGAAACAGCCCAGAACAAGAGUAAAGGUUCCCAAAUUAUUGUUAAGUGAAAUUAAGGAUGUUUAGUUAAAAUACGGCCAGGAAAUUGGCUUAGAAGCGGUCCAUUUUUUGAAGAUCUCGUAACAGAGCACUGGUUUAGUAUAUUAUUUACAUUAAUUUGAGCACCGAAGAUUUAACGGAUCUAAACAAUAUACCGACACCCUUGUCCAUAAAAAUAUAAUAUUUAAUGGGGUAGCAGAACGUUGGGUAAACAUUUAUUGUUUUUAAUAAUAAAUAUAUGAUAACCCAAGUGAUAAUGCUGACAUGAGUAACGAAAAAGGGGAUAUACCCUCGCCUAAAGCUUAUGGUAUUUUAAAAUAAGUAACGGCCUCUAAGUUUACCAACCUAAAGGAUUAAACGAUGAGAAAAUCUUUUAGUUCAUUAGUAACAACCUUCCUUCUUAUAAGAAAAGUUGAGGGAGGUUCUGGAAAAACCGUGACCUAUCUUUAAGAUAAAAACCGUACCUAAAUACCACCGACGGUAAGCUAGUAGAGAAUACGAAGGCGUUUGAGUGAACAAUCCUUAAGGAACUCGGCAAACUAACUACCGUAACUUCGGAAUAAGGAGUGCCAUUCCUCUUCAUUAAUAUGAGGUAAAGAAUAGGAAGCAUGGAAUAGUGUUGUACGACUGUUUAAUUAAAACAAAGCACUCCGCAAUAAGAUAAUAAAUCAAAGUAUUGAGUGUGAUUUCUGCCCGAUGUCGGCCGGUUAACGGAUUUUCUAAGUUGACUAAUAUAAGCUUGGUUUUGAUGGAAACCCCGAUCAAUGGCGGCCUUACCUAUGAGGGUCCUAAGGUAGCGGAAUACCUUGGCCGUUAAAUGCGGUCUUGCAUGAAUGAUUUAACGAUACAACAGCUGUCUCAAGGAUUGGCUCAGUGAAAUUGGAAUAACUGUGCAGAUACAGUUUACCUCUAGAUAGACGAGAAGACCCUAUGCAGCUUUACUGUUACUAGUUAUUAGAUAUGAUAAACAGCAUUUUUAGUGCAUAAGGUAGGUCUUAAUUGACCGAAAUUGAAACACCUUUAUUUAGUUUUUCAUAUUGGUAAAUAUAAUUUACGUGAUAAAUAUACUAUCAUUUCCAAAAGAGAGGAACGAUGACUAGGAGGCAGUUUAUGCGGGGCACAGAUCCCAUAAAAAGUACCUGGGUGUAUCCAAAGUUAAUUUUGUAAUUUGGUUAUAAUUUCGUUAUAACAAAUCUAUAAGGGUCUAGCUGCCUAAAUAUGAGCCAGCCGUCGAAGCUAAGGGCUAACCCUCUUUAGGUUUUUUUAGUUUGUUAUUAGAGAUAGCUCUUCUUAGAACUAUUACCAAUCCACCUAUAUAUCUAUUGAGUUAGAACUAAAUUUUUUAAUCAAGUAAGAUUUUAUCUAUAUUGAAAAUAGAUGUAAAACUAUGUUAUAUUUUCUUCUGGGCCAGCUUAGUACCAGAGGCUGCACUGGUCUUCUAGCCGAGGUCUUCUAGAGCUAGCCAGGUUCUAAGCUAGCUUAGAACCAGGCAGAUCCUUUUCUUACCACUGAAAACACAGGCAAGGAGGUAGCCCGGCCACUAUUGUUGCAAAGGCAGAGCUGCGGGCUGGUUCUCUGCCGGCAAACAAGAGGCGGU